CUCAUUUUCCCAGAUUAAACUCCAUUUACCCUUUCUCUGCCCAUAGCUGUGGCUGAUCUAUAUAUACUGCAAACAAUGGAGGGCCCAGCACAUAUUCCUGUGGAACUCCACUGGUCACAGACCUCCUGCAAGAAUCACAUCCUUCCACCAUGACCCCCUAUCUUUUAUGCGUAAGCCAGUUCUCAAAUCCAAACGACUUAAGUUGUUGUGGUCCCACACACCUUAAUCUUCUGGAUCAGCCCACUGUGAGGGACUUUAUCAAAUGCCUUAUUAUAAUUCUUGUAGACAACAUCCACUGUCCUAACCUUAUCAAUCA